GACGAACGCUGGCGGCGUGCUUAACACAUGCAAGUCGAACGGGUCUGCCCUGUUUUUUGCGGGGUGGGUCAGUGGCGAACGGGUGAGUAACACGUGAGUAACCUGCCCCUCACUUCUGGAUAACCGCUUGAAAGGGUGGCUAAUACGGGGUGUUCUGGCUGUGCCGCAUGGUGUGGCUGGGAAAGAUUCACUUUUGUGGUGUUUUGGUGGGGGAUGGGCUCGCGGCCUAUCAGCUUGUUGGUGGGGUGAUGGCCUGCCAAGGCUUUGACGGGUAGCCGGCCUGGGGGGGUUGGCCGGUCAACUGGGAACUGGGUAACGGCCAGACUCCUGCGGGAGGCAGCAGUGGGGGGUAUUGCACAAUGGGCGGAAGCCUGAUGCAGCGACGUCGCGUGAGGGAUGGAGGCCUUCGGGUUGUGAACCUCUUUCGCCGGUGAAGAAGGUCCUGCUCUUUGUGGUGGGGUUGACGGUAGCCGGGUUAUGAAGCGCCGGCUAACUACGUG
rnacentral:rRNA from 1 species